rnacentral:rRNA from 1 species
GACGAACGCUGGCGGCGUGCUUAACACAUGCAAGUCGAACGGAAAGGCCCUGCUUUUGUGGGGUGCUCGAGUGGCGAACGGGUGAGUAACACGUGAGUAACCUGCCCUUGACUUUGGGAUAACUUCAGGAAACUGGGGCUAAUACCGGAUAGGAGCUCCUGCUGCAUGGUGGGGGUUGGAAAGUUUCGGCGGGUGGGGAUGGACUCGCGGCUUAUCAGCUUGUUGGUGGGGUAGUGGCUUACCAAGGCUUUGACGGGUAGCCGGCCUGAGAGGGGGACCGGCGACAAUGGGACUGAGAGACGGCGCAGACGCCUACGGGAGGCAGCAGUGGGGAAUAUUGCACAAUGGGCGGAAGCCUGAUGCAGCAACGCCGCGUGCGGGAUGACGGCCUUCGGGUUGUAAACCGCUUUCGCCUGUGACGAAGCGUGAGUGACGGUAAUGGGUAAAGAAGCACCGGCUAACUACGUG